rnacentral:tRNA from 1 species
GGCGCGGUACCCAAGUAGAAAGGGAGCGGUCUGCAAAACCGCGAUGCGUGGGUGCGAUUCCCACCCGCGCCU